rnacentral:lncRNA from 1 species
AAAAACGCUCUCCCUCUCUCUCUCAACUCCCCUGUCUGGCUAUGGCUCCGACCAUUGGCUGUCGUGGUGGCCGCCAAUUGUCGGCAAUAGCACCACCGUCCACGGUGGCCGAAAAGUCAGAAAAGGCCAUUUUUUUGGCUUUUCGACUCCCCGACCCCAAAAAAGCGUCGUUUUUCAUCGGAAAUGACGAACCUCGGCCACGGUGGCGCAAAACCCGAAACAAAAAGGUAUGUUUUCUUCUUUAUUUUCUUCUCUUUUUUUAAAAAAAUGAAAUCAAACAAAAAAAAGAAAUAUAAAUAGAAACCGAGACUACCUCUGAAAAAUUUACUGCUUUCGAUUGAUUUUUUUUUGUAUUAAUUGUAUCGUAAAAAAGUUACAUCACUGUUUGUGGCUUUUUAUAGCCCCCCAAAAAAGAAAAAUACAAUAUUUUCUAUUAUUCCCCUUUGCCUCCAUUUCUUUCCUUUUUGUCUUGUCUGCGGGUACUAAGCGCGUGCAGGAUCGCGUACGGCGGUGGCAGCGGGGGGCUAGGUGUGGCGGUAGCAAGCUAGGGUUUCAUUUUUGUUUCCUGAAAACAUUAUGGGCUAGGGUUAGGUUUUAGGCUGUUGGGCUUGAAUUGAGUUUAGUAAAUUGGGUCUGUAAAUGGACUUUUAUUUUUAUUUUUUUGGGUUUUGUUUUUUGUAUGGUCUUGGGCUCGGGCAAAAUUGGUCUAUUACAAGUAGAGGUGUUCAUGGGCCAGGUGACCCGGCCCGGCCCGACGACCCGCCUGAAAUAUGGGAGGGUUUGGGUAAAAAUAUAGGCCCGAAAUAUGGGCUUGGACAAAAAACCAGGCCUGUUUAAAAAACGGGCCAGGCCUCGGGCAAAAUUUUUUGGGCCCGGCCCGAAUAUAAUAUAUAAUUUUUUAAAAAAAAUUUUAAAAUUUUUUUAAACACAUUUCUUUUCCCGCCCCCCCCCCCCCCCCACAUUUCUUUUCCCGUCCCCCCCACUCCCAACUUGUCACUUUUCCCAAGCCAUUUCCCCUAUUUCCCUCUUCCUCAAAUCCCUAGCCCUCCAUUUUUUUUCUCAACCUUGACCUUCAACUCUGGCAGCAGUCCUCCACCACCGGUCCACCUCCAGUCAUUUUUCUUUCCAAAAUCAAAUGUUAGUUUUCUUUAUUUUUUCUUUCUCUGAUAUUUACUGUAAAUAUAAGUUUCAUCUAUUGAAGUUGCUGUAAAUAUAAGUUUGUUUUAUUUUUUCUUUCUCUGAUAUAUUUUUUCUUUCUCUGAUAUCCCAAUACAGUAGUGUAUGAAUAAUGAUUUUGUUUUACUUUUCCCCCCCGGUAUCCAUAACCUAACCUUAAUAUUUGUUAAGACUUGGGGUUGAAAGAAGGGGAAUGGGUGUAGAAUAACCCUUCCAGUCUUAACAUUAGACUUGCUAUUUCACCUGUGCUUCGGUUGCCCUAUAAAUUUAGAUAUUUAUGUAUUUUCAUGUUUUUUUCAUAUAUUCUGGUGUAUCGAAGGCAUCAAGUAGAAAUUGGAAGGAUAUAGGUUAGGUCUUCCAAAAUUACUAGUUUAUUUCCAAUUUGUUAAAAUUGAAUUUUCAUUUAACUUGGAUAAUACAUCUGAACUGAAGAGCCAAACUUGCUCUUGAAAAUAAACUAAAUUCUAAUUUCUGUUAAGGGAAGGAAAAGAAUGCCAGUAUUUCUUUUUUAAACAAUUAACCGCAAUGGAUUUGGAGUGAGACUAUUCACUUCCACCCUCAAAAUUUCUUAAACCACACAAAUAAUUUUCUAAAAAAAGAAUUAGCAGUGAUUGAUUGAAGAAUUUUACUAAACAAGAGUCAUUAUGGUUUGAAAUAAAUUUAGUAUUAGUCAACUAAAUAAAUAACAUAUGAUAAUGAAAAUCAACUCAUUGAUUUUUUCCAUCUCUACUUUCUUUGAAGAAUUGUUAAUCUAAUGCUCCAAUAUCGCGACAUGCUUCUUACUUAUUAUUGUUAAUAAUAUUUUUAAUUUAAUGUUAUUUAUAAUGUUUAAUCUUAAUUUAAUUGAUUUAAUGCUAUAAUAAUUAAGUUACAACCAUUUUAAAGUUUAGUGUAAUUUAGUUAAAAAAUUAAUUUUAAAAAUUUAAUUUAAUAUCGAUAUAAUCAAUGAAAAAGACUGUAUGUAUUUGCAGUAUAUUUUUUAUGAGAUCACAUACAAGUAUAUUUUUCUACUUCUUUCAUGCAUGCUGGUUCAACUUUAUGGGUUCAUUAUUUCUUUGCUCUGCUACAUGCAAGCAAAACACUACAUUUUCCUGCUUUCAUGCAUGCUGCCACAGGUUCUGUAUUUAUAUUAUUUGCAUAUAAUUCAUGUAAUGUAAUAUUAUGCAUAGCCAUUAUUUCUUACAUUUGUUUCUGUAAUUUCUUUCUUACAUUCUUUCUUACAUUUGUAAUUAUCUUUUUUUUUUUUGCUUUAUUUUAUUGCAGAAACAAGCUAUUGAGGCAGAAAAACAGCAGGCCCAGGCAGGUUGCUAUCACUUAGAGGUUGCUAUCACACCCUUUCCUUCGAAACAAUCAACCUUAAUGACUUUUUGUAAAUGAUGUGUGUUUUUUUAGUAUUACUUAAAGACAUGUAACAAGUUUGAUCUUGUAUCUAGCAUAGUUAAAUAACUAGUUUAUUAUAUCGUGCAAUAUAACUAGUUUAUUAUCUUGC